UACGUAGGGCGCAAGCGUUAUCCGGAAUUAUUGGGCGUAAAGAGCUCGUAGGCGGUUUGUCGCGUCUGCCGUGAAAGUCCGGGGCUCAACUCCGGAUCUGCGGUGGGUACGGGCAGACUAGAGUGAUGUAGGGGGAGACUGGAAUUCCUGGUGUAGCGGUGGAAUGCGCAGAUAUCAGGAGGAACACCGAUGGCGAAGGCAGAUCUCUGGGCCGUAACUGACGCUGAGGAGCGAAAGCAUGGGGGAGCGAACAGG
rnacentral:rRNA from 1 species